UCUUUAAUAGCUCAGCGGUAGAGCAUAUGGCUGUUAACCAUUGAGUCAUUGGUUCAAAUCCAAUUUAGAGAG
rnacentral:tRNA from 1 species